UACGUAGGGCGCAAGCGUUGUCCGGAAUUAUUGGGCGUAAAGAGCUCGUAGGCGGUUUGUCGCGUCUGCUGUGAAAUCCCGAGGCUCAACCUCGGGCUUGCAGUGGGUACGGGCAGACUAGAGUGCGGUAGGGGAGACUGGAAUUCCUGGUGUAGCGGUGGAAUGCGCAGAUAGUCAGGAGGAACACCCGGUGGGCGAAGGCGGGGUCU
rnacentral:rRNA from 1 species